rnacentral:rRNA from 1 species
UAAUGCAUCGGAACGUGCCCAGUCGUGGGGGAUAACCACUCGAAAGAGUGGCUAAUACCGCAUACGACCUGAGGGUGAAAGCGGGGGACCGCAAGGCCUCGCGCGAUUGGAGCGGCCGAUGUCGGAUUAGCUAGUUGGUGGGGUAAAGGCUUACCAAGGCGACGAUCCGUAGCUGGUCUGAGAGGACGACCAGCCACACUGGGACUGAGACACGGCCCAGACUCCUACGGGAGGCAGCAGUGGGGAAUUUUGGACAAUGGGCGCAAGCCUGAUCCAGCCAUGCCGCGUGCGGGAAGAAGGCCUUCGGGUUGUAAACCGCUUUUGUCAGGGAAGAAAAGCUCUGGGCUAAUACCUCGGAGUGAUGACGGUACCUGAAGAAUAAGCACCGGCUAACUACGUGCCAGCAGCCGCGGUAAUACGUAGGGUGCGAGCGUUAAUCGGAAUUACUGGGCGUAAAGCGUGCGCAGGCGGUUGUGCAAGACAGAUGUGAAAUCCCCGGGCUUAACCUGGGAACUGCAUUUGUGACUGCACGGCUAGAGUGUGGCAGAGGGGGAUGGAAUUCCGCGUGUAGCAGUGAAAUGC